rnacentral:lncRNA from 1 species
ACCAUACCCCUUUCAAAGGCACUUACAUCUUUUGUCUUGCUUAAAAAUCCCUCUUUAACUUGCCUCCUCCCCUUCGUCUACACUGAUUGAAUUGGAUUUAACAGGUGACAUCAAUAAGGGAUCAUAGCUUUCACCUGGUCAGUCGAUGUCAUGGAAAGAGCUUUUGUGCAUGUUUUGUACACUCCGUGUACUCACAACUAACUUCGUUUGACCCAGAAAUAAAACAUCUCGCUGGCAUUUGUUUGGUCAGAAGGGAGACGACCAGAGCUGUCCAUGGUUUCUGAUGAGUGCUCUACUAUAUUAGGCUAAAUGAUCCUUUCCUAUUCUGUGAGGCCAGUCUGAUUGGGGUGUGUGUUCUGUGGGAGCAGGGAUUGUGAUAGGCCCUUCAAACCCCCAUGGCUCGCAGGGCUAUUAAUAUUGCAGCCGCUGGCUUUCAAUUAUUGAAUGAUAUAUUGAGUGGUAAGGGAAUUGAGGCUGACCCAAAUGAGCCUGUGAAUGAAUUAUGGUGGGCUGAUUGAAUGUCUCCUUCAGAGAACCAAUGGACAAUUAAAGCACAAGUGCACCCUCUGUUCUACUGGGUUUGAUCAUGAUAAAGUCGCUGUCUGUCUGCCACAACAAUGAAAAGGACUUCCUUUUUUCUUAAUCUUUUGCGGAAGUCACUUGGUAUGGGGUGGAUUUGAUCUAUCUUCAUGAAGUCUUGACUACUCUGUCAAAACACACAUGGACCCCCCCCCCCCCCCCAAACAACCCACCCAAACUCAGCAUUUGGCAGUAAGUAAGCACCAUGUGUCUCAGAGCUAAUGAGUCGGGCUCCUUCUGUGGGGAGCUCCCGCUCUACUCUCUGGUCCGGGGUUCAAAUAUUUCUGUCUGUCUGUCCUGUCUGUCCUGUCUGUCUGAGCUUAUGUCCCCAGCCUUGGUCUGUCUGUCUGUCUGUCUGAGCUUAUGUCCCUAGCCUUGGUCUGUCUGUCUGUCUGUCUGUCUGUCUGUCUGUCGUCUGUCUGAGCUUAUGUCCCCAGCCUUGGUCUGCGUCUGUCUGUCUGUCUGUCUGUCUGUCUGUCUGUCGUCUGUCCUGUCCUGUCUGUCUGUCUGUCUGUCUGUCUGAGCUUAUGUCCCCAG